UACGGAGGGUGCAAGCGUUAAUCGGAAUUACUGGGCGUAAAGUGUGCGCAGGCGGCGUCGCAAGUCGAGUGUGAAAGCCCCGAGCUUAACUUGGGAAUUGCGCUCGAAACUACGGUGCUGGAGUAUGGCAGAGGAAGGUGGAAUUCCACGUGUAGCGGUGAAAUGCGUAGAGAUGUGGAGGAACACCAAUUGCGAAGGCAGCUCGCUGGGACGUAACUGACGCUGAGACGCGAAAGCGUGGGGAGCAAACAGG
rnacentral:rRNA from 1 species